UUGACAGAAGCCAAAAAGAGGCUUAUUAUUGUUAAUAAUAGAACUGAAUUCUCCUGUUAUU
rnacentral:tRNA from 1 species